rnacentral:misc_RNA from 1 species
GAUGAAGAACGUAGCGAAAUGCGAUAAGUAAUGUGAAUUGCAGAAUUCAGUGAAUCAUCGAAUCUUUGAACGCACAUUGCGCCCGCCAGUAUUCUGGCGGGCAUGCCUGUUCGAGCGUCAUUUCAACCCUCAAGACCCCUUCGGGGGACUUGGUGUUGGGGACCGGCACAUGGGCCUUGCGCCCCUCGCCGCCCCCGAAAUGAAUUGGCGGCCUCGUCGCGGCCUCCCCUGCGUAGUAGCACAACCUCGCAACGGGAACGUGACGGCGGCCACUGCCGUAAAACAACCCAAUUUUAUUAGAGUUGACCUCGAAUCAGGUAGGAAUACCCGCUGAACUUAAGCAUAUCAAUAAGCGGAGGA